CUUAUCAUGGCUGCGGGCGUGGGCGUCUUCAAGCUUCUUGUGGUUGCGGCAGUUCUCAUGUUCACAUUUGUUGCUAGCAUUGAGUCUGCGCGUGUCUUUGGAGGGGACUUUAUUCAACUAGUUCAAGGUGGUAGCAAUCCAAGUUUGAAGUGCCAAGACACAGGAGAUCCUUGCACGCAGAAUAAGGAUUGCUGCAAAGGAGGGUGUCUGUAUCAAGUUGGAAUUUGUGUUGGCUGGUAGGUGCCAAAAUGACAUUGUGCCAUAAGGUUUCCUCUUGCUUGCAUCCUGGUCACAAUGUCACAACUUCUAGAAGAGGGUUUCUUCCAGUUGUGCAGAUCUACAGAUUGACACAAGCUAUUGGAACAAUAGCACUGAAUAAUGAUUGAAAGAAGAAUUUCAGUGCUCCCCAAUUCUUGAAGGUCCCCAUUUUUCUUCCAAUUCUGUUGUUUGAGGACAGUCUUAUGACCUUAUACUCUUUCUUUUUUUUUUUGGUUUUUUCUUCUCCUUAGUCACUUCUUGGCUUGCGAUCAUCUAGGAGCACAAGUUUGUAAGCAAGCUUGUAAAUCUCAUUGGUGUUGUUAUGCGGACAUGGCAAUAGUUUUUAUGUAUAUGUACCUAGAGUUGAGACAUACACUCCUUGUAUGCUGAUCUCUCCACUACUUUUAUCUUAUCAGAACAAUUAGCUCCUUGAUCUUGGGCAUGGGAUUUGUUAAUCAAGAGGCCAAUGACAAAGAGGAUGAGUUUUUUAUUACAAUCCCUCUUGGGAUGUUUGAUGAGGUGUUGGAUGUGUUAGAGGUUUGAAGUAUCACAAACUUGAUUAUAGGUAUUAAAAAUUAUGUCUUUCUACUGCUAAAAAGUCAAUAUUGUUAGACCCUUUGCCAAAUUAACAUAAACCAAAAGGGCACUAAAGAAGAAAAUUUUAAUUAUUAGUUUGCACUUAUUACUAUUGGGUUUGUGAUAUUGAGUUUGGUCCCUCAAUAUUCGCUAAAUAAUAACUUACUGUGUUUAUUAAAAAUACUCUUGUUCAUGUGUUAAUCCCAUUUUGGUUCUAUAUAAUAAUUAUGGAAAGUAUAUAAAUCUGCUACUUAAACAUAUCUAGGAAAUGUAAAGAGUGUUAUUCCCAAAUUCAUAAUUUAUCAUCAUUUUAUAUUUAAUAAUUUUUUUAGAUUAUCCUAAAGAAUAAAUCCUAGGAUUUGGGUGAAAGCCUAAAGCAUGCAUAAAAAAAUUUAAAUAUAUAAUAAAGAUGGGUAAAUUGGGUAUGGAUGACUAACUUGAGAUAUUAUAUAGCUUCUAACAGAUAUUAUGACUUGAGAUAUUAUAUAGUUUUAUGUAUAACUUGGGUUUAACCCCAAACUCCAUACCAUGUUCGUUUGUAGAGUACUUCAUAUCCUUCUGUUAUGCAAAAAUAACUCCUGUUAUACUAAAAUAAUAUUAAACUUUAUUUGGCUUUAUUUUGCAUAUUAGUCUUGGCAUUGGGAUAUUGAAUGCUCUAAAAUUAUUUCAAUGUUACUUUAUGCAUUUUUAUUCCUUCACUCUUUAGUUGUACACUUAUAAUAAAACUCAAGUUUUAUUUUGUUGCAUUUACCACAUAUGUCCAAGGGUUAAGUUUUGCCCUAUAGUAAAUUACUAUAAGGUAUAGAGUGAAAACCAUAUACACUACAUAAUAGGUGAUUAAGAUAUUUUAACAACCCACAUCAAGAAUUGGGUCAAGAUUCAAGAACUAGUUCUUUACAUGAAUCUUCAGCAAUUUGGAAAGAUUCUUAUGAAGAUUCAAGUGCUUAAUAGCAAUAGAAGUGAGAGCCUAAUAGUAAACCAUAUACUAAGAUUGAAACCAUAAUAAUGAGCAAGAGUGGGUGUGUAAAUAAAGCUAAAAGUAGUUGAUUGAUGAGUUUUUUAAAUGUGUUCCCCAUACUUAUUAUCUCAUACUAACUAGGCAUGGUUUAAACUUUGAUUCAACCUUGAAUCAACCACUUGAUUAUGAGCGAAAGUGUUUGCGCUAAAGAUGAUAUCAUAUGUAAUUAUGCCUAUGUGGUAGUAGCUUCUAUAUAUAUGUACCCAUUUAUAUAAAGUUCAAAUAUUUUCUUCCUCCUCAUGUAUGCAUCUCUCCACUACUUUCAAAGCAUAGUAAAACCUGGAAAAGGUAAUUUUUUUGUUGAUCACUCUUUCUAUUUCAAUUGACAAGAUUGAAUUAUGUCAAUAUAAUAUACUCUUGACCGAAGUAUAUUUCUACCCUAAAUUGGAAAUUGUAUGUAUUAGGCAUUCAUGCGUCUUGUGGAGUAUCUAUAAACAAAAGUAUUUACUAUGGGACCAAAGCAAAUAAUAUAGGUUUGAUUCCCAUUGAUUAGUAGCUAUUUAAAAUAUACAGACAAAAGUAUCUAUGGUGGGACUGUGGCUCAAUAGGGGUAAAAGGACAAUAAGGACAUUCACAUUUUUGCAAUGGAGUAUCUACAAACAAAAGUAUCUACUGUGAAACCAUAACUUAGUAGGGGUGAAAGGAUAAUAAAGACAUUUACAUCUCUAAAGUAGAGUAUCUAUAGACAAAAAUAUCUACUAUAGGACCAUGGCUCAAUAAAGCUGAAAGGACAAUAAGGAUGGGACUGUAGCUUAGUAGGGGUGAAAGGAUAAUAAAGAUAUUUACAUCUUUGAAGUGGAAUAUCUACAAACAAAAGUAUUUACUGUGGGACCAUAGCUUAGUAGGGGUGAAAGGAUAAUAAAGACAUUUAUAUCUCUGAAGUGGAGUAUCUACAAACAAAAGUAUCUAUUGUGGGACCAUAGUGUAAGCCACAAAUUUUUCUUUUCCAAUUUGCCAGCUUACCUCGUCUAUCCGUCCAACACCGCCUUGGCCUUUGCUAAGUUCCCUUGCCAAGGUUCUCGCCUAUGGUACUAGCUCCUACUUGGUCUCAGCUACUUACUGCACGAGCAACGGAGUGUUAGCCAUCCAUCUACGGAUUCCCAAAUCACUCCCAAUCCCCCUCCCCGGGUUAGACUGGACUUAAGGUUCGGCUACACUCCCCGCAAGCACAAGCAGCCAAGCACACCAAGCUUCCAGGUUCCUAACUUCCCUCGGUACCACAAGACUUGAUCAUGGGACCCUCUAAAUCCCAAGUCUUGAGUGCAACACUUGCUUCGGGACGCCGGGGCGAAACACCGUGGCCUAGCGGCCCGGUAUGGGUACCUCUCGCCCCCCACUUCCAUCCCGAAGGAAGGCCCAAGCCCCUAGGAAGGGCGAGGACCAAUGAGCCGCAUGGUACUCAAGUGGGGCACCACUCCACAUGAGCUGGGAGCACCGCAAUUGGUUUCCCUUUCGGGAGUGGGAGCUGCUCUUGAGCACUUCCUUGGAUGGCCCCUCCGGCACCAGCCAAGUCCAUGCUCACUCCCACCCAAGGCCCCUCGGUCCCAGUCCCAACCUCAAGUCAGUUUGGAAGCCCAACUGGAGAGUCCCUUCAAAACUGGUUCCUGGACCUCACUAUCCCUACUAUACUUUUGGAACCCCCUGCAGCCCCCCCCCCCCCCUGGGAGACGCACGCUUUGGGCUUUCACCCCUUGACCCGUAUUAGUAUUUGGACUUAGUCUCUGGCUCGAUCUCGGACCCGAUUUCGGAUCCGACUUCGGAUUCGGGUUUGGACUCGAUUCCGGACUCGAUCUCGGACCCGAUCUUGGACCCGACCUCGGACUCGACCUCGGACUCGGUCUUGGACCCGAUUUCGGAUCUCGGACUCCGUCUCGAACUCGGUCUCGAACUCGGACUCGAACUCGGCCCCCGAGCCGGUCUCGGACUCGAUUUCGGACUCCAUCCUGAACUCGGUCCUAGAGUCGGUCUUGGACUCGAUCUUCGACUUGGUCCCAUCCGAUGAACUCUUUGUCAUUUUGGUCAUGCUUUCGGGGUUCCUUUAGCCUACGACACCUCGGCGAGUUGGUUCCUUACAACUCCACCACCCAUAGAAGAAGUUCGAUGCCCACAUCGAACGUCUCGUUUUAUCCUACGACUUGUUGACCAUGUCUCCGGGGGCAUCCCCCCACUUAGCGGUGUGCCUAAGUUAGCCUCCCCGGCCAAGAGCCCAUGACAACGGAAUAUAGAUGUCCCUAUACUCCUCCCCUCACCACGUCCUAGUAUAGGGUCGGGACUUGAACCCAGCCUUGCUUUACUAGGGGGUUGGGACUUGAACCCAACCUCCGUAGAAUACGUCUACGGUUUCGACAUCCCCGCAGGGAGUCGGGCGUAGCUCCCUACGCCUGGUCGACCUAGCUAACCCAUGCUAAUUAGCUUACCUUCGGCGCGCCUUCGGGUCCCAAUAUAUGCCAUUGCUCAACUUCUCAAAUUGAUACUUUUAAUUGAACUUUGCAUAAGUACAUAGAGUUCUGCCAUGCAGAAAUUCCUCCACUAGAUCUCGCGCGUUCACUAGGUUCUCCUCUGGUUCCCAUGUUGCUUCGCAGUGUGGAAAUCCUUUCCACUUCACAUGGAACUCUCUCACCUCGUGUCCUUGUCGCUUGCUCUUGCGCGCAUUGAGGAUGGCCUCGACUUCGUAUUCCUCUUCCCCUUGGAUAACCUCAGGUAAAGGUAUUACUUGGUCCUUGCGAAGCGGAUCCUCAAAGUACGGCUUGAGUAAGUUCACGUGGAACACUGGGUGCAUCUUCCCCAUCUCUCGAGGAAGUCGGAGUCGGUAAGCCACUUUACCGAUUCGUGCCUCAAUCUCGUAAGGCCCCGCGAACCUGCUUAAGGAACUCAAGAUCAAUUCAUUUACAGGAAUACAUGCAUUUUUACCUUUGGGUCAACUUUCGGCUGAUCCCACUUGGUAGCCUGAGGUUCUUGGUGUUCAGCCACACCUUCUCCCCAGCUUGGAACUCCACAUCUCGGCGCUUUAGGUUCGCAUACUUGGUUUGCCUUUGUUGAGCCCGUUCCAAGGAAUCCCUCACUAGAUUCCAAAUGUUGAGUCUUUCCGCCGUAAAUGCCUCCACUGCGGGUAGCUCUCCAUGAUACUCGGCCACGCCGAGUUCCACAGGACCUUCAAUAGCUCGCCCAUUGAUGACUUCCCAUGGACUCACCCCGAUACUCGAAUGUGGUGAGUUGUUAUAACACAUUUCCGCAAGUCCCAAAUGACUUACCCAGUCGGUCUGGUCUCCCGAGACAUAGCAUCGCAAAUAAUCCUCCAGCUGCCUAUUCACCCUUUCCGUUUGUCCGUCUGUCAAGAAGUGUUAGUGCCAUCAAUCUUGACUCAAUACCCAUUACCUGUUUGUGGGUGAUAGGCCGUGCUGAAUUUCAACUUGGUGCGAUACUGUUCUAGGAGUGUCCUCCAGAACCUACUGGUGAAGAUCUUAUCUCGAUCUGAGAUAAUCUCUUCUGGCCUUCCCCGCACUCGAACCACUUGUUCGAAGAACAGCUUCGCCACACCUUCCGCAUCCACAUCCGUUGUGGUGGGUAUGAAAUGUGCCAUCUUUGAAAAUCGGUCCACCACCACGAAUAUAGCAUCGAACCCCUCGCUUGGGGGUAGUCCCGUGAUGAAGUCCAUCGUGAGACAUUUCCACGGACGAUCUGGAAUGGGGAUGCUUUGCAACAAGCCCCCACUAGCCUUCGUCACGGCUUUGACCUGCUGACAUGUUGGACAUGUCUUUACAUAGUCUUGGACGUCCUUAGCCAUAUCUGGCCAGUGAUACUUCCUUUUGAGUAAGCCCAUCGUCUUGGGCACUCCGCCGUGUCCCGCGAGAGGUCCGUCAUGACACUCUUCCAAGGCUACCUUCCUUAGUUCCCCUUCUGGAACAUACACCCUCGUUUGCUUGUAAUAUAUGAGUCCGUUGCGUUCCGCAUAGCCCGUUUUCUCUUCCGUUGGCAGCUCACCUCUCUGGUGAGCUUCCCGCGCCUCCAGAUUCCUCAGCAACACUUCUUGUGCUAGACCAUCACUCUCGUAUGCGGUCCGCACAUCGUCCCAAAAGGUUGCUGUCGCGCUAGAUAUCGCCAACUUCAAGCUCGCUUUUCGACUUAGCGCAUCUGCCACGAUGUUGCUCUUCCCAGGCUUGUACAGGAUCUCGCAAUCAAACUCGGCCAAAGCAUUGGCCCACCGACCUUGUUUUCCCCUUAGGUCGGGCUGUGACAAGAAGUGUUUCGUUGCCACAUUGUCCGUGUAAACCUUGAAGUGUCUCCCAAGGUAGUGUCGCCACUCCUUGAGCGCCUUGACCACCGCAAACAAUUCCUUCUCGUGGGCAGGCCACUUCCGUUGAGCCUUGUCCAGCUUCUUCGAGAAGAACGCUACUGGAUGGUUGUCUUGCUUCAAAACUGCGCCCAACGCAAAGUCCGAAGCAUCCGUGUCUACCUCAAAGUCCUUACCAAAGUCUGGUAAUGCCAACACCGGAGCCUUCCUCAACUUCCCCUUGAGGUGGACGAAUGCCGCCUCGCAUUCCGCUGUCCAUACCAUCUUCCCUUUUCCUGUUUGGUCCGUUAAGGGCAGGGCUACUCUCGAAUAGUGUCUGAUAAACUUUCGAUAGUAGUUGCAUAGCCCCAGGAACGCCCUCAACUCAUGUACAUUCGAUGGUCGUUCCCAUUCCUGGAUCGCUUGGACCUUCUUCGGGUCCACCUUGAGCCCGUCCUGGCCCACCACAUGCCCGAGAAACUUUACCUCUUGUUGAGCAAAGUCACAUUUGCUCUCUUUAGCAUACAGUUUGUGUUCCCUUAGUUUCUCAAACACUUUCGCCAAGUGUUCGGCAUGCUCCUCUAGCGUCUCGCUAUAGAUCAGGAUGUCGUCAAUAUAGACGACCACGAAGCGAUCCAGAUAGGGUACAAAGAUGUGGUUCAUCAACGCCGAAAACGUUGCCGGCGCAUUGCACAGCCCAAAGGGCAUCACCAGAAACUCAAAGCUCCCAUACCUCGUUCGACAGGUUGUCUUCUCGACAUCUUCCUCAGCUACCCUGAUCUAGUAGUAUCCUGACCUUAGGUCAAUCCUCGAGAAGUAUUUUGCCUUUCCCAACCUAUCGAACAGGUCCUCGAUCCUUGGCAAAGGGUACUUGUUCUUCUUGGUAUACUUGUUGAGCAACCGGUAGUCUAUGCACAUGCGCAUAGAUCCAUCUUUCUUUUUCACAAAUAGCACCGGCGCCCCAUACGGCGACUUACUCAACCUAACAUACCCUUUGUCCACCAACUCCUCUAGUUGGCUCUUGAGCUCCUUGAGUUCUUUUUCGUUCAAUCGGUAGAGUGGGCGAACCACCGCCUCAACACCCUCGACCAGCUCAAUCUUAUGUUUUAUCGGUCGUGCGGGGGGCAACCCCGCCGGUAGCUCCUCCGGCAUCGUAUCCUGGAAUUGGUCCAGCACCUGCUGGAUCACUAAAGGUACUUCUUCCGUUCUUGUCUUUUUGUCACUCUUCACCGAGAGUAAGCACAAAAAGGCUGCCUUAGUUCCUUUAGUGAGUUGUCCUCUCGUGGACACCAGGUUUAAGCAUGACUCUUUGGCCUUGCUUUGCCCUACCUUUAGAUCUUGGGCCUCCACCCUAGAUCUUCUUCCUUGGGCAUUCGCCAAUACCACAAGGUUCCUACCUUGUCCAUGCAGGGCUACCACGAACCGAUUAAACAAAUCCAUUCCGAAGAUCACGUCAAAUCUCGCCAUGUCCAAGACGGUGAAAUCCAUGUCCACUUUCCAUGUCCCCACUUCGACUCUCGCUUGUCGAAGUACCUCAUCGGUGCUUUGGCUACCUUGAACAAACUCUAUAGUCCUUGGUUCGCCUAGCCGCUGCACCGUUAGUCCGGCUUGCCGGACUAUGUCUGCAGCCACAAAAUUAUCCGAAGCACCCGUGUCAAUAAGGAUCUUAACAAAGCUACCUCCGAGCUUCCCUCGGAGGGCUAGUAGAUGUCGCGAACGACUCUCUACCAAAGUUGCUCGUGUAAUGAGUAACUUUGAGUUAGGGACUGGAUCACAUACCUCAGUUUGGACUUCACCCGACUUGAUGGCCAUAUUGGCUCUGGCCUUCUUCGGGUAGGGACAUUCCCUCGAGAAGUGUCCCGCUUCGCCGCAGUUGUAGCAUAUGUUGUUUCCCACGCUGCUAUACGACUUGACCUUCUUAUCCAUGGGUUUGUCUUUUUUCGCUUGACUCCCCCACGUACUCGCUCGCUGGCCACCGGAUUUGCCUUUCCGGAACCCCGAGGACUCAUUCUUAGAGAAACUCUUUUUGAAUUUCCCCUUGCUAUACGUUCCCCUUGGUUUGGCCCCUUUGCUAAAUGUGGAUCCCGACCCCGUCGUGUUCCCCUUUCGCAGGUUAUCGUUGAAAUGCACCUUGAUGGCCGCAUCCAACGCUUCUUUGUAGUUGAUCGGGUUCCACCGCAUCACCUCACCGCGAGCCCAGGUUUGCAAACCUGAUAUGAAGGCAUGGAACGCAUCCAUAUCCCCCAUGUCCGUGACAAGUAUCCUCUUUGCCAUGAACCCAUUCACAUAUUCCUGGAUGGUUCCAGUCUGCUUCAGCCUACUCAGCUCAUCUCUCAGAUGUAGAGUGGCAUUCGGAGGAACGUAUGUUGCGCGGAUCCUCGCCUUCAUCAUGUCCCAAGUGGCCACUAGUCCUUCGUUGGCCUCCGUCGUUCUCCACCAAGACUUGGCAUUAUCUGCCAAGUAUGGUUUUGCACAUGGGACCUUCUCCGAGCUCGGUAACCGCAACGCUCGGAAGUAGUCCUCCAUAUCGUAAAACCAAUCCUCCACCACCUUAUAGUCAUUCACUCCCUUGAAGACCGGUGGGGGCUUCGGUUUGUACUUGGGAACUGCCUGAGGGACUGAUUCUACUUCGGUCUGUUCGACCUUGUCUGGUUUUGCCUCAGUCCCGGCCGAAAGAUCCGCACCUUCUGCGCUGCCAGCAUCCGCAGUCUUUUUCUUUUUCUUCUGCCUCUCGUCACGCUUUAGCUUGCGUACGAGAGUUUCCAGCAGGGCAUUGGUCUGUGCCAAUUGUCCUUCUAGCACGUCCAAUCGAGCCUUGGACGACCGAACCUCGCCACCGGACUCUUGUUUGGAAGUUUCCUCACUAGAGUCCUCCUCAUGCAAGGAUUCCUCAUCCAUAGCCUCUUGUUCGACCGGAGGCUCCAGCUCCGGCGGAGGUUCCGUCUCCGCCUGGGUUCGCUUACGCCCUGCCCUUGCCAUCUCCCAGCAAUCCGCCUCUAUCCUUCGCUAGAACUGAGAUAAAGGCUCCGAUACCAAAUUGUAAGCCACAAAUUUUUCCUUUCCAAUUUGCCAGCUUACCUCGUCUAUCCGUCCAACACCGCCUUGGCCUUUGCUAAGUUCCCUUGCCAAGGUUCUCGCCUAUGGUACCAGCUCCUACUUGAUCUCAGCUACUUACUGCACGAGCAACGGAGUGUUAGCCAUCCAUCUACGGAUUCCCAAAUCACUCCCAAUCCCCCUCCCCGGGUUAGACUGGACUUAAGGUUCGGCUACACUCCCCGCAAGCACAAGCAGCCAAGCACACCAAGCUUCCAGGUUCCUAACUUCCCUCGGUACCACAAGACUUGAUCAUGGGACCCUCUAAAUCCCAAGUCUUGAGUGCAACACUUGCUUCGGGACGCCGGGGCGAAACACCGUGGCCUAGCGGCCCGGUAUGGGUACCUCUCGCCCCCCACUUCCAUCCCGAAGGAAGGCCCAAGCCCCUAGGAAGGGCGAGGACCAAUGAGCCGCAUGGUAUUCAAGUGGGGCACCACUCCACAUGAGCCGGGAGCACCGCAAUUGGUUUCCCUUUCGGGAGUGGGAGCUGCUCUUGAGCACUUCCUUGGAUGGCCCCUCCGGCACCAGCCAAGUCCAUGCUCACUCCCACCCAAGGCCCCUCGGUCCCAGUCCCAACCUCAAGUCAGUUUGGAAGCCCAACUGGAGAGUCCCUUCAAAACUGGUUCCUGGACCUCACUAUCCCUACUAUACUUUUGGAACCCCCUGCAGCCCCCCCCCCCCUGGGAGACGCACGCUUUGGGCUUUCACCCCUUGACCCGUAUUAGUAUUUGGACUUAGUCUCUGGCUCGAUCUCGGACCCGAUUUCGGAUCCGACUUCGGAUUCGGGUUCGGACUCGAUUCCGGACUCGAUCUCGGACCCGAUCUCGGACCCGACCUCGGACUCGACCUCGGACUCGGUCUUGGACCCGAUUUCGGAUCUCGGACUCCAUCUCGAACUCGGUCUCGAACUCGGACUCGAACUCGGCCCCCGAGCCGGUCUCGGACUCGAUUCCGGACUCCAUCCCGAACUCGGUCCUAGAGUCGGUCUUGGACUCGAUCUUCGACUUGGUCCCAUCCGAUGAACUCUUUGUCAUUUUGGUCAUGCUUUCGGGGUUCCUUUAGCCUACGACACCUCGGUGAGUUGGUUCCUUACACAUAGCUCAGUAGAGGUGAAAGGACAAUAAGGACAUUUACAUAUCUAAAGUGGAGUAUCUACAAACAGAAGUAUUUAUUGUGGGACCAUAGCUUAGUAGGGGUGAAAGGACAAUGAGGACAUUUACAUCUCUGAAGUGGGUGUGAGUAUCUAUUAUGGGACUGUGGCUCAAUAGGGUGAAAGGACAAUAAGAACAUUUAUAUCUCAUGUGAUCAUAGGAUAAAUAGAGAUAAAAUAGCCACUAAAGGUUCUUUAAUUAAGUAAUUACCCCUUUUCCAAUUGACUUUAAGGGCUACCACCAAUUUUUAUAGGAUAUAUAUCUUUUUUUAUUGGUGUUCUACCAUCUGUAACUGAUAUAGAGUGUAAUUAUGACAUCAAUUGAAGAGUUAUAAAUGAUGCAAUUUAGUUAUUAGACAAUGUUAAAAGAUUGAGUUUAUAUGAAAAUGUGAAGUAGAUUCCUCUUAAUAAAGAAUUUGAUUACUAUAAGGAUAACUUUAAAGAUGAGUUGGAGAUUUGAUAAGAUAGAUAUUAAUCAUUUAAUUUGCCAUUUGAUCCUUUUUAUGGCCUUUUAAUCUUUCUUAACUUUUUUCUUAUUUCUUAGCCUAAGCCAUCUUCUCAUUUGCAAUAUUUUCUGUUUUUGAUAUAUAAAUAUGAUUUUUAUUUUUAAUUUGAUGUUGAGUUAAGUGUUUUUUGUCCUCCUCAUAUUAAUCUAAAUGCUAAGUAUAUGUGUGAAGUUAAGAAUCUUACUUUUAUUUUAUUAGUAGAAUCUUUAACACCCAAAGUUCAAUGUAGUCUCAUAUUUGGAAAAUUCAGGUUCAACUUGUUUAAAUUAUCACAUUACUUUUCAAUUGUCAUAAUUAACUCACAAAAAUUGUCCGUUCAUACAUUUCCUAUUACCAAAAUACACAAAUAAAUUUAUAAACCAUGUCCUAGUUUGCUAAUUUACUAAGAAAAGAAACAUUUUUAUCCUCAUUAAUGUGAGAUUUGAGAUUUAUCAUAUUUUAAAUAGCCACUAAUCAAUGGGAAUUGAACUUAUGUCAUUUGCUCCAAUACCACAUGUAGCACACUCUAUUUCUCUCCUCUUAAGCCAAUUGGAAAAAAGGGUAAUUGCUUGAUAAAAGAGUUCUUAGUGGUUAUUUUAUCUCUAUUUAUCACGUAAGGUUUAAAAGAUCCACAGUGAUAGUAUAUUUGAAUCUCAUCCCAUGAUCAUAUGUGCUAUAAUAACAAUACAUUAAAGAUAAGAAACAUUAAUAUAAUCACAUCCCACAGCACCAAAAACUCAAUCCAACGAAGCAACACCAAUAUCCUCAAGUAAUGAUAGUAUGGUAUGGUGAAAAAAAAAGAAUGUGAAGAUUGAGAAGGAAGAAUAAAUUUUAUAACUAUAAUCUUAGAUUUGGCAAAAAGUUAACAUAAAUCUAAAUCUAAAAGAGAAUAAAAGAACAAAAAUAAAAACAUAAUUACAAACAGUCCAUAACAUUGAGUAAAUCACUAUCAAAAACUUUCCUCUCCAACAAAAAAACUUUGCACUCUUAAAUACAGAUUGCAAUUCCACUAAUAUAAGCAUUCAAAAUAUCAAAAUAAAUAUCUUAAUUGGGAUUCCUUUGUUAUAUACAAGAAUGUGUGAGUACAUGGAAUGUAGAAAUAGAAUAUAAAAAUAUCCAUAUCAAUUAGCCCAAAAACCAUAACUUAUAUACAAAAGCAAGUGGUUCAGAUUGAAACCAAUUCAAUAGCUAUUAAAAUCCUUCUAUACUAAUAUUAAUAUAUGGUAUUGUAGCUAUACAUUUGGAACUCACAUCAUCCCUUCCUUUCGGAAUGAUGGAAGAUAGUUAGGGUUAUGUAAUGGAUGGGUUGGGAUCUAGAGGAAUAUCAAGAGGAAGCAUUGGUAGAUCUAUAGGUGAUGCUAGUUGUUCAUAAUCUCUUUGUAUGAAGCAUUUCAGCCGUUGCAUAUGAACAAUUUUUGAAAGAUUGACUUGUUGGACAUUAUGUUGAACCUCAUAAACUUGCAAUCUAAUUUGCCGCAACACUUGAUAUGAUCCCUUCCAUUGAGCAAGGAGCCUCUUAGACAAACCACAUACCAUAAGAUUGGGAAAAUGAACUAACACAAAGUCAUCCACUUUGUACUUUGCAAGUAGACAAUGAUGGGAGUUGUAGUGUCAUUGUUGUCCCACUUGUAUGCGGCCCAGGUGUUCGGAAAACUUUGCUCAGACAAGUGGAAAAAUGCUUUUCAAAUAUUAAUCCCAAAACCUAGCAUCGACAGCUCGUGGCAAUCAUGAAGGGAAACUCAACUUCGUUAGUAGUAUUGGAUCAUGACCAUAUAAGAGUUUAUAUGGUGAAGCACCAAUAGAACUUUGCAUCUUUGUGACAUAUGCAUAUCAAAGAGAUGGCAAAUAACUAUCCCAAUCUAAAUAUUGAAAGUUCACAUACUUUGCAAUCAUCCCUUUGAAGGUCCAAAUGAGCCAUUCCACUAAACCAUAUGACUGUAGAUAAUAAACAUUUGUAAAAGUGUGGUGUAUCCUCAACUAAGAUAUCAAAAUGUGAAAAUCCUUAGCUAUAAAUGUAGGAUUAUUAUCUGAAAGAAUUCACUCCGGACAAGAAUGCUAGAACACUACUCGAUUAAGGAGGAAGUAUCUAACAACAGUUGCAAACACACUAGUAAGAGCACUGACUUUCACCUAGUGAGUCAUAGUCAAAAGCAAUAAUGACAUACUCAUUGCUAGUAAUUGACUGUGGAAAAGGCCCCAUCAAAUCAAAUGCCACUAACUAAAAUGGACAAGAAGUUGCAAUUGACUCCAACUAUCCUUUCGUAGCACAAGAGGGAGUAUUAUGAGCUUAGCACUAAAUGCAGCUACACAUAUGCCAGAUAAUAUUAUAUUGCAUCUCUGGCCAAUAAAAAGACCUAUGCAACUUCUCGAUCACAUGAUAAUAUCCCACAUGCUCAUCUAGAAUAGGAGAAUCAUGGUAAGCAUGAAAAAAGCGUGGAAUAAAGAUAAAAGGCAUCACCAGCUGUAAAUGAUUAUUAGGAUCUAUCCCCUAUAAAUGCUGAAAUAGCAAGUUAUUAGCAAGUGAUGUAAGAUUCUCAAACCUAUUGCAAAGCUUUCGAAUCCAUGGCUCAUCUUUUAAGCCUCACAAAUCUUAUCAAGAAAAGGUAAAUUUUACUCUACACCUUAUGGACAUUAAAUAUCAAGUACAACAAUUGCCGAUGGCACAGAAUCCUUAUCCAAAAAAUCCAUAAAUAUUGGAAUAAUAGACUUAUCAAAAACAUGAGAAAAGAACAAAGAAGGAAAAGGAGUUCAAGAAAGGGCAUCAUCAUUAGCUAUAAAAUUCCUUAGACAAUGAACAACAUCAAAAUUAUAUAUAUAAAGCUUCAAAGCUCAUCAAGCCGUACGAUUAACCAAGUUCUUCUGCUUAAAUAAUAAAGUAACUAUAGUAUAAUCACCUUUUAGUAAUGUUUGAGAACCAUGUAAAUAUACAUAAAGUUUCUCGAAACCCCCCAACAACUUUCUAGUGGAUAAUGGACAAGGUUCUUUGUGAUAUGCCAAAAGUCACUGCUAACUUCAUCGAUGAUGUCUUGAUCCACUUAGAAGGGACGUAGGAGGAACACAUAUGUAAUGUUCAUAAAGUGUUAGAUUGGCUACGGGAAGUUGGUUUAAAGUUGAAGUGAUUAAAGUGGUUGAAGUGUGUGUUUGGUUCCAAGGACACAACUUCUCUUGAAUAUUAUAUUUUUCGUAAUAGUUUGUAAGUUGGUUUUAACAAACUUGUGGCUGUUUCAAAGUCCUUUAUGCCGACGUGUGCGAAUGAUAUGCAAUACUUCCUAGGCAAGGUGCAAUAUCUCAAUUGUUUUGUUGAUCAUCUUUCUAGUCAUACUACACUAUUGUGAGUAUUGUUAAAGUCAUCAAUAUCAUCUUUCAUCUGGUAUGUGGACUGUAAACGGGCUCUCAAAAAGUUAUUGAUAACUCCUUUAGUUUUGGCAUAUCCUAACUAUACUUGACUUUUCAUUUUGCAUAUGGAUGUUUCUAAUAUCAAUUUUGAAGGUGUGUCAAUGCAAGAGAGCUUGAGUAUGCCUAAUCAGUGCCAUCCCAUUGCAUAUAUCAGCUAGACAUUACAAUCAUCAGAGUUGAACUACUCCACAAUAGAGAAGGAGUGUUUAUGUUUAGUAACAAUUUAGCACUGUUCAAAUCAAAUAGCAUCUCUAAACAUUCGUACAAACCAAAUGAUAUACAAAAAGCAAUCAAAGGAAUAUCUUCCUCAGCCAUCAACACUUGCCAGUACCUAAAAGCAAAAUCUAGCUUGGUAAAUCAAUGACUUCUCCCUAGAUGAUCUAAAAGAUGACUAGUGUGAAGAAGAAGGUACAUAUCCAAAAUCAUCACUUUGUUUAACGGAUGAUAGUCGAUGCAAAAACAAAUACUCUCAUUAUGCUUCAUCACAAAAUGAGGUUCACACGUCUAAAGAUUCUGUGACUUUUGAAUAACACCUUUUUCCAACAUCUCCUUAACGUUGAUAUGUAAAAUUAUGAUCUUUUUUGGUGACCGACAACAAACGAAAACUUUGAUUGGACAAGCAUCCCCAAUUGGAAUAGGAUGACGUGUUACAAUUUUGGCCCUAGAUAACAGAUCAAAUUCAAAAAGAUCAAUAUACUCCUUCAUGAACUGGUCAAUUGCUACAACACAAAGAUUGUCAGUGGGAUCCAAAAAAGGAACAAAAGAACAAAAUGAAAAUAUAAGAAAAAGUAAUGGAGAGAUAAAAGUGAUGGAAACAAAAGUAGAAAUAAGAUGAAAAGAUAUAAAAGUGAGAGGAAUAAAAGAAAUAUAAAAAAGUAUAAAACAAAAGUGAGAAGCCUCAAAAUCACAUUUGGCAUUAUUGUGCCACAACAAAUCUAUACCAAGAAUGAGGUCAAAAACUUGAUUUGGCACCACCCGCAAUGAUUGCAACUCAAGUUUGAGAUCUCCCACACACAUAACUAGAUCCACCUCAUCCUAUGUACAUACGUGUGUAGCCGUUGCCAUAAAGAAUGAAAACUAGCUCUGAUGUAUAACGCAAAUGUAGACGAUAACAUGUAGUAAUAGGCUAAGCAAUAGAAGAUAAACUCAAGUCUGUAUCAACCAAUACAAAGAGAAUAAUAGAAGAACUUUUGUGAUAACAACAAGCUUAGAAAGUAAAUACCAGAUCGAAUGAACCCCUUAAUGAUACUUUUGAAAGAAAAAUGGAAAGGUUACUAACUUAUUCACGCAAGGACCCUCUGUUACUCAUGCAACUCCUCAUUUCCCAUUUCUCAGUGUUCAGACUUUCCACUGUAGCAGCACUAAUAAGAAAUUGUUGAUGCCAAAGUCUCCACCUAGGAAAUGGAGGUUGCCAAUCUGGAAAAUGCCGAUAACGUUAAUAAAUGUGAUUAACUUCAUCAUACACCUAGCAAGGGACAUCAUAGCCACGACCACAUCCUCGCUCUUGUCCUUGAAUUCAAGCAGCAGCAGCAUGAACCUCCAUAAGAACAUGACUAUCUUCUAUAGGAAGUAAAGUUGAAGGAUGUGUAACAAAAAGUGGAAGAGGCAACAUUUUAUAAUAUUGUGCCAAGUGAAAAGCAUUGUAAAGAAUGGUUAAAGUAAGUGUAUGCAUAAGUCUUACAAAAUCUUAACAAAAUGUUAGCUACAACAUUCCCAAUUUGAUCCACUUUAAUAUAUUUGGUUCUGCACAAAGUAAAAGGCUUUGAAAACAAAUACUAAAUUACAUCACUGACUCAAAUUGACCUUGAUGAAGACAAUGUAAUUGUUAGAAGGCAUAAUCACAAUUAUCAACAUGUCUAAAUGUGCAUUUAAAGAUAUCUGAAAGAAUGCUCCAAUCCUUAUGAGUGGUUGUGCUCAAACCAUUGUACCAUUGUAAUGCCAUCCUUUAUAGACACUUGGAAACUCACGCAAACGCUAAACAUCUUUCCAAGAAUAAUAUGUGGCAAUCACCAUAAAGUGAUCAAACCAAUAGUACCCAGGAUUCUUAUAGAAGAUCUUUGGCAAUACGUGAAGAUUGGCAACAAGAGCAAGAAAAGUUGUACCAUAUGCCAUGAAUAUCAUUAUCAACUAAGACUGAUUAUUCAAUUGCAACCACAUAACAUUGAGUAAUUACACCAAUUAUUGCAUUAGAGUCAAAAAGGGGAGGAGGGUGCUACUCUACCAUGAAAUGAAUAAAAAGGAAAAAAGCAAAAGAAAAGAAAUUGAAAAAAUUAUAAAGAAAAGGAGAUUUAGACAAUGCAAAAGUUGAAUUUAAAGUAGAAUCCCAAAUCCAAGCACUCCUUUGAGACAAUCAAAAUUGCCCCUCACCUCCACCACGUAUAAAGGAAUCUAGGAGCAGAAGUGCCAACCAUCCUGGAAGAGCCGCAUAAAUUGACAGUCAUGCAGAUAGACUUCGGUCAGAGGCAUGGGAUUCCCAAGCUCAUCUACAAUCUCUCCCUGAAAGUUCUUUGACCUUUGGGAAACUCGAUCUUGUAGUAUCGGUCUUGGACCUCUUCCUGCUCCAGAGAAAAAGCUGGAGAUUUGUAAGUGCUCCUUUGAAUUCUGGAGCAGUCCUUCGAUUCUGCUGGAAAUGAAGGCCAUAGGAAAACGAUGGCCACGACCAGAACCAAAAACUUCCCGUCCAUUUUUUAGCUGCUAUCCACCCCCGCCGUGCUCAACUCACCACAUGGGUCGUAGGACUUCACCUGUAUGCCGUCACCUAUGCUUAGUGGUUUGGACAUCACUUUUAGUCUUACAAGUGCUUGGACGAUUCAGCGACAAUUUCCGUACCAUGAGUCGCUGUCUUCAAUGUGCUUCCUAUGAGCAAUAGACCACACGGCUUCCAUAGACCAGCUCUUGGCCCACAUGCGGUUUGUGGGGAUAUAUCCGAGAUCUCGCGUCCCAGAAGAUCGAUCUUGUCGAAGACAAUCGAGACCUUCCAGAUUGUAUUAGCGGAAUCGCCUCUAGAUUAAGAAAAAUCGAACACAGUUCUUGUUCCAACCUCGCUUGAAAGAAAAAAACCAGAAAAAAUGUAGAACUGUUGUUAUAGAUCAGAUGAAACUGGACUCCGCGGGGGACUGCAGUGGAGUUUUAUUGCACCUCUCUCAAAACUUCUCCGGUUCUUCUUCCUUCUAAAAAAACUCUAAAAAAACACUAAAAAAGUUGAUCUGCACAACCACGAAGUUUAUAGUUCUCAUGAAAUUUUUGAUCUUUCAUAUUCGAACACAUACUCGCAAACUGUGCAGAAGUUUGAUCAUCCUUUUUUCCCCAAAUGUAUAGACAGAUAUGAGCCACAAAUAAUCUUAUCAUGGCAAUGCACUAUAUCCUCC
rnacentral:lncRNA from 1 species